GCAGAGCAUCCUAGGGAGGCAGCAGUGGGGAAUAUUGCACAAUGGGCGCAAGCCUGAUGCAGCCAUGCCGCGUGUAUGAAGAAGGCCUUCGGGUUGUAAAGUACUUUCAGCAGUGAGGAAGGUGGGUAUGUUAAUAGCAUACUCAUUUGACGUUAGCUGCAGAAGAAGCACCGGCUAACUCCGUGCCAGCAGCCGCGGUAAUACGGAGGGUGCGAGCGUUAAUCGGAAUUACUGGGCGUAAAGCGCAUGCAGGUGGUUUGUUAAGUCAGAUGUGAAAGCCCGGGGCUCAACCUCGGAAUUGCAUUUGAAACUGGCAAACUAGAGUACUGUAGAGGGGGUAGAAUUUCAGGUGUAGCGGUGAAAUGCGUAGAGAUCUGAAGGAAUACCGGUGGCGAAGGCGGCCCCCUGGACAGAUACUGACACUCAGAUGCGAAAGCGUGGGGAGCAAACAGGAUUAGAUACCCUGAUAG
rnacentral:rRNA from 1 species